rnacentral:rRNA from 1 species
UACGGGGGGGGCAAGCGUUGUUCGGAAUUACUGGGCGUAAAGAGCUCGUAGGCGGUCUGUCGCGUCGGAUGUGAAAAUCCAGGGCUCAACCCUGGACCUGCAUUCGAUACGGGCAGACUAGAGUUCGGCAGGGGAGACUGGAAUUCCUGGUGUAGCGGUGAAAUGCGCAGAUAUCAGGAGGAACACCGGUGGCGAAGGCGGGUCUCUGGGCCGAUACUGACGCUGAGGAGCGAAAGCGUGGGGAGCAAACAGG